rnacentral:lncRNA from 1 species
GGGGUCUCCCUUGGGGAGGUCAGGCAGAACUUAGGUACUGGCUGGUUUCUCUCCCAGGCCACACGCAGAGUCCCCAGGUCGGAGGUCCAAUCGCCACAGCAGCGGCAGCUCCCAGAGCCCCUCCGUCUCCUCCCAUUACAGCGAUUCCAGAUCACCCAGCAGGCUGAGCCCCAAGCACCGAGAUGACGGGCGGAAGACGGGCAGCCAGCGGUCCAGCGGGAGCCGGUCGCCUUCCCCGUCUGGCGGCAGCGGAUGGGGGUCGCCCCAGCAGAACGGCGGCAACAGACAGCGGAGCGGAGCGCACGGGGGCCGCCCCGGCUCGGCGCACAGCCCGCCAGAUAAGCCCAGCUCGCCCUCGCCCAGGGCCCGCGACCAGGCGGAGGCCGGCGCAGCCACGCCGCCCGCGCGGGGCAAGGAGAGUCCGAGCCCGCGCUCAGCACCGUCGUCGCAGGGCAGAGGAGGCCGCGCGGCGGGCGGGGC